AGCAUGGAAGCCCUGCAGAGAGACCUCAACAAAUGAGAAGACUGGGCAAUCACCAGCCAUAUGAGGCUCAACAAGGGGAAAUGUCAGAUUCUGCACCUGGGCACUUUUGGCAGCUGGGGAUUUCUGCACAGAAGCCAUCCCUGAGAGACCCCUAUGACUGGAACUGCAAAAGGUGAUGGCAAAAGGUUUGGCGCUGCACUGGCUGUAAUGCUUCUGGGGACAUGCUGGAGAGAAGCCCUUGGCCAUGGAGGAGUGUAAGGUACAAGAUUUCUGGUAUGGACUGAAACAAUGCAUAAGUGAGGCAGAUCAGGGU